GCAAGUCGAACGGAAACGAUAGGUACUUGUACUUAGGCGUAGAGUGGCGGACGGGUGAGUAAAGCGUAGGAACCUACCCAGUAGUGGGGGAUAGCCCAGAGAAAUUUGGAUUAAUACCGCAUAUGCUCUACGGAGCAAAGAUGGCCUCUAUUUAUAAGCUAUCGCUAUUGGAUGGGCCUGCGUUGGAUUAGCUAGUUGGUAGGGUAAUGGCCUACCAAGGCAACGAUCCAUAGCUGGUUUGAGAGGGUGAUC
rnacentral:rRNA from 1 species